UAACACCCAACGAGAUGCGUGGGUCUGCGCAAUUCGACGGACUGGCUGGGCACCGAAGCCGAGAACGAGCAAGCUGUGUUCGAAGCACUUUCGUGCUCAGGAUUGCGACAGAUCCUUGAACCGUGUGCGUCUCCGAGCGGGUGCUGUUCCCCAAAUAUUCCCUUGGUCUUCUCAGGAAGAACAGCCCACUCAGGAGACGAUACAUGGGACAAGCCACCCAGGCCCAAGUGUGGAAUGCACAGCUGCUCAGGUCCCUGCCACAUGUGCAAUGGAAGUUGAUGAAAGUCUAGGCUCAGUGGACCAGUUCAGCUUGUGCACAGAAAAUGUGAGCACUUCCUAUCUGGCACAUGAAGAAGACUCCAAUGUGAGUG